GCGUCAGAAAAAAGAAACGUUUACAUGAAAACAAUGUCCGCUCUAGCUCGUUGACAGUUGAAAGAAAGAACUAACAAACGAAGGCAAAUAACUUUGAUACUCACGUAAUAUUCUCCCCUCCAAAGUUACAUCUCGUCUUCACCCAAAAGCCCCCACCGCAGCAUAACACAUCACAACAGACGAAAUCCCCUAAGGUUUCGAUGGCCAUUGAUGUUCGGUCUGUUGAUGGAGAUGGUGAAAGGUGUGCUUAAAGCUGAUGCUGCUGCUGUCCUUGGUGUCACAAUUCAAUGUGUUGUUCGUUAAUUUGCCUUUCAUGUCAAAUCUUUUCCACCUCCGCCACUCUAAUCUCUUCCAUGCAGUGAUGCAGUAUACAAUUGAGGCAACCUGAUCUAACAUGAUCUAGGAGUGAUUCAAUUGACAACUGCUAGAUCAAAAAACUUUCUGCGCCAAACAAAUAAGGGCGUUGUUAUAAUCGCGGUUGAGAAAGCAACAGGCCCUCUGCCAUCUAAUAAAAUUGUGGGUCUUGUGUUUAUUUUGAUUGAUUAGUGCAGUAUGUUACGAAAUUGGAAAAAAAAAAUGAAGAAAGCAACAGAUCAUGUGUUGGGAUAUUUCGAUAUUUAUACACUACACAGCACUGUAAAGAAAAAUAACUGUUUACAAUCUUAUUGACAUUUUUUUGUACAUAUGUUUAUCAUCCCUCAUCGUACACAUUUAUAUUUUACCAUCAUUGCAUUAAUUUUAUCAAUAUGAAAUUUCCUUGCCCAAUUUAGUCAAUCAAGACAGGGGAGACUAUGCCUUGUUUAAUUGUGCUCAGGGAGAUUACCUGAACAAGGAAGAAGAGUGCGAGGCCAGUUUUACUAGGGAGCAAUUAGAUAUAGUAGACUUCCGGGUUACACUCAUAACUCUACAAAAGUUUUCAUCAGAUCACGCGCUAUCCUAGUCCCCGUUUCACCAGAGCCCUUCUCCUAGUUUCACAGCAGGUGAGUGACAACCGGCUGGCGUUGGUUAAUGGUUAGUUAAGUAAACGGGGCCACAGAAGGAAGCCCAGAUAUGCACGUGUCUACAUCAUAGUCUACAUCAUAGACUACAUCAAACAAUACACUAACCACAAACAAGCAGAACAAUAUUUGUCAGAACACCAACCCACUCCAGGAUAAUACCAGUAUCACAGACUCCAUGCAACAGCUGAACUUUUGACGACACCUUUCACCGG